rnacentral:rRNA from 1 species
GACGAACGCUGGCGGCGUGCUUAACACAUGCAAGUCGAGCGAUGAAGCUUUCUUCGGAAAGUGGAUUAGCGGCGGACGGGUGAGUAACACGUGGGUAACCUGCCUCAUAGAGGGGAAUGGCCUUUCGAAAGGAAGAUUAAUACCGCAUAAGAUUGUAAUAUCGCAUGGUAUAGCAAUUAAAGGAGUAAUCCGCUAUGAGAGGGACCCGCGUCGCAUUAGCUAGGUGGUGAGGUAACGGCUGACCAAGGCGACGAUGCGUAGCGGACAUGAGAGGGUGAUCGGCCACAUUGGGACUGAGACACGGCCCAGACUCGUACGGGAGGCAGCAGUGGGGAAAAUUGCACAAUGGGGGAAACCCUGAUGCAGCAACGCCGCGUGAGUGAUGACGGUCUUCGGAUUGUAAAGCUCUGUCUUUAGGGACGAUAAUGACGGUACCUAAGGAGGAAGCAACGGCUAACUACGUGCCAGCCGCCGCUGUAAGAC